rnacentral:siRNA from 1 species
GUGUUGUAUAUUUAUUGGGUAC